rnacentral:lncRNA from 1 species
UCACCAUCUCCACCACUACCACCACCAUCACCACUAACACUAUAAUCUUACCAUCUUGACUGUUAGCAUCUAAUCAUCUUGAGUGAGUCAAUCGAUCAGAACUUCGGAUUCUCCUGCCCCACCUUCCCAAGUGCAACACUUCACUCGGCUGCCUGUCCAUUUCCCCAUCUUCUGAAGCUGAGGCCCCUAGACCUUCCUCUGCAUGCUGAAACCUGAUCUCAUGAGGCAAGUGUCAUUACCACAGGCCAGCCAAGCAAGGAUAACUAAUUGACCUCAUCAGUAAACUACAGUGCUGGGACUGGAAUCCAGGACUGUCCAGUGUCCAGGGCCAUGUUUACAUCCUCUGUGGCAUGCUGCCUCCCUGAGCUACACCGGAGGUCCGUUCCCGAGUGUGUUUACUGUCUGGUCUGGACUCUUGCCCAUCUUCCUCAAAUUCCAUUUCCUAUCUCACACUGAUUAAUUUUGUAGAAAUUCUUCAUUCUUCUUGUGUAAGAACAUUCCCCCCUUAUUUUGGAGAUAGUGGUCUCAUUAUGUGGCCUUGGCUGGCUCCAAACUCUGUGUACACCAGGCUGGUCUUGACUUGAGGGCCUCCUGCCUCUACCUCCCAAAUUGCUGAGAUUACAGGCUGUGUCAUCAUAUCUGGUUUCUGACUCCUCUGUAUUUUUUUUUUCUAUGUCAGGAUUUUAUGUAGCCAAGGCUGGCCUCUGACUUGCUAUGUUCCAAGGAUAACCUUGAGUUCCUGAUCUUCCUUCCUGUCAAUUGCUGUGAUUACAUGUGUUUACCUGGGAUUACAUGUGUUCAUCUGGGAUUACAUAUGUGCAUCUGGGACCACAUGUGUGCAUCUGGAAUUGCAUGUGUUCUUCUGGGAUUACAUGUGUUCAUCUGGGAUUACACGUGUGUCUCUGGGAUCACAGGUGUGCAGCACUACUUUUUUUUGCAGUUUGGGUGAUGGAACCCAGAGCCUUGUGAAUGCUAGGCAAAUGAUCUACAACCUGAGGUCCACCAGCCUCACUGUGUUCUUUUGCUUUAAAAAAUAUUCUGUUUUCGGGAUGGCAUAGUGACAUGUCUCAAUUGUCAGUCGUCUCUAGACACAUUCCGGGCUACUGCCCUUGAUACAUGAUCUACCAGGUAGAAACAAGUCUUUAUACAAACAAUAAUAAAUUCACAUCCAUGUUGUGUGAACCUACAGUUGGCUGGGCUGAUGUGCUGUUACCUUGGCAACAAAGAAAAUAAACUGUGUUCUCAGAAAUACUCUCC